rnacentral:tRNA from 1 species
GGGCGAUUAGCUCAGUUGGGAGAGCGCCUCCCUUACAAGGAGGAAGUCGGCGGUUCGAGCCCGUCAUCGCCCACCA